CCGGGAGACACAUUAUCAAAAAGCUGUGUUCAACUUUUAAAAAGCCUUUUUUCAAUUCCUGGCAGCGAGCUCCAAGAUCUACAACCAUCUGCUCAGGGCUUCAUCACGUGCACUGCACUCAUGCACGGGUCCACUGCAUUAGAUCUAAAUGGUUAGUUAAUGCAGUUUAUGCAACUUCAUUAAAUGUCUACUUGUUAGAAUUGAAACAUGUUUUCAUACAUCAGAGUAUCACACCUCUGUAGAAGCGGAUGAGCCCUGGUGUAAAUGUGGUCAUGUGACUCCACACAACCAACAGCAACACGUCUUUAAUGUGUAACGGAAAACAGAAAAUGUUAUUCUGAUAAGCCUUGUGGUUCUUCUCCUCAGACUCUGGCUGCACAAUGUAUCAAAAAGGUUUAUUUAAUUUCACCCUUUUGUUUGAUUUUUUUAUUUUCAAAAAUCACAAGAAUGCGGUUUAUGUGUUUAUCGUUUUGUCGUUUCUCUCAACAUGCUGAUGGAGAUGAGGAACUAAAGAGUUGGUGGAAAUUCUCAUCUCCAUUUUCUCCAUUUCGUCUUAUGCAAAUGUGGUGAAGUUGUGAAAGAGUCUUAAAUAUUUCCUCUUUUGAAGUGUUUAAAGGUUUUAAUGCCGAUUGAAAAUAGAUAUUCAUCUGUGGUCUCUGCAUUUCCACAUUUCUCCGGAUGUUUCACAUCUUUCAAUCUGUCUCUUGACUCGAAGCAGAAGUGUUUCUCACAAGCAGAGAGUCAGAGUGUCAGAGUGGACGUGAGGAUGGGACACACUUUGUUUGCUGUGUUGGGGCUUUUCUUGCUGAAUAUUCUCCUCUACUGUGGACACGCUCAAGAUGCUUUGCUGCAUAUUGAGCCAAACUGGUCCCCUUUAUUUACUGGAGAGGAAGUUACCUUCAUAUGUGACUCAAGGGAAGGAAACAACACUGACUGGAAUUACUCAUUCAGUAGGAAUGAUCAUUUCUUUACCACCAACAGAUCAGUAAAUAGAUAUAAAUCAUUAUCUCUAACUAGAGGAGAUAGUGGUGAAUAUCAGUGUGUUGCUCAUCACAAGAUCCGUCCUGAUGUUACAAGAGAAAGUAAUAAAGUCUCUCUAACUGUAUCAAAUGUUCCUGAGCCUGUCCUCACAGUGUCUCCAUCAUGGCCGAGUCCUGGAGACUCAGUGACUCUGACCUGCAGUGUUGGACCGUCUGCUGGAUGGAGGUUCUUCUGGUAUAAAGCUGUUCCAGAACUUUCACUCUACUACUACACCUAUGAGCUUCUACCUGGUAGCACCACGGGGACUGAACAGGGUUCCUACAUUCUUCAUGGACAGACACACACAGAAGGAUAUGUGUGCAGAGCUGGAAGAGGAGAUCCUGUGUUUUACACUCAGUAUAGUUAUGUGAAGUUUGU